rnacentral:rRNA from 1 species
ACUCAAAGGAAUUGACGGGGGCCCGCACAAGCGGUGGAGCAUGUGGUUCAAUUCGACGCAACGCGAAGAACCUUACCUGGACUCGAAAUGCAGUCGCCGGCUUCAGAGAUGAGGCUUUCCCGCAAGGGACGGCUGUAUAGGUGCUGCAUGGCUGUCGUCAGCUCGUGUCGUGAGAUGUUGGGUUAAGUCCCGCAACGAGCGCAACCCUCACCCUUAGUUGCUAGCCGCAAGGAAGCACCCUAAGGGAACUGCCUCGGAUAACGGGGAGGAAGGUGGGGAUGACGUCAAGUCCUCAUGGCCUUUAUGCCCAGGGCUACACACGUGCUACAAUGGCCGGUACAAACCGUCGCUAACCUGCGAAGGGGAGCCAAUCGGAAAAAACCGGUCUCAGUUCGGAUUGCAGGCUGCAACUCGCCUGCAUGAAGCUGGAAUCGCUAGUAAUCACGUAUCAGAACGACGUGGUGAAUACGUUCCCGGGCCUUGUACACACCGCCCGU